CAGCUAUAGCUCUGGAGUUUUUGCAGUUUUUCAAAUAAAACUCAGAGAUUCCUUGUAUGACUCUCUCAAUUCUCUCUAUUAUGGUAUUUCUGGAUCAUUACCAAGGUAGUGAUGGUAUAUGCCUUCUCUCAAAGUAUGUAGUAUUUGUGGUAUGAGGCAUAGUGACAUUGCCUUCUCUCUCAUCCUACUCUAAUAAGGCUUUGAUAUCUGGAGCUCAUAGGGGGUAGAGUAUACAUACUUACAAGACAUUUAUUGCAUAGUCAAACCAUGGAUCUAGAGAAACAAGUCAAUAAGUCAAAUCAAGAUGUGCAUGUGUGGCGAAUGAAUGGUGUAUGGUGAUGAUGGUGAUAACAAUGGUUAAAGUCUAAUUCUACUUUUGCUCUUUUGAGGGGAUACAUACCUUCCAUGCACUUUGAAGCUUUUUGAGGAGAAUGAGAUGCUCUAUAUAUAUAUAUAUUUUUUUUUUCUUUUCCCUAAUUCUACUGUCGAACACUUGUCCAUUUUUACCUCUCAUCUCACUUUUUAUUUUCUUCGAGGUUCCUGGCACUUGCCCCUUUUUAUUUCCUCGUAUUCAUCAUUUUUCAGAGAACUCAUCUCCCUGGAAUAAUAUAGCAAGUGGUAGUAACCAAGAUAACUUGAGCAUUUAUUUCAUAGGGAAUAACAGGGAUAGGAGAAUGUUUUUGGUUAUUCUCUCCCAAAUAGGAGUAGAAUAAUUUUAGUUGGAUCUAGAGAUGGAAAUGAGUGGAUGUAUGUGGAUGCGUACUUCUGGAGUAGAAGCAGCAUAUAUGAGUGAAUGUGCAAGUGGAUUUUGAUUUUAACUGCAUGACAAGCUCCUAAGGGUCUACACAGCUUGACCAAACUCAAUGCUCAUAAGCAGUAAAAAGUAAAUGUAAGGCUUAUAUUCUAGCAAGCAUGUAUGUAUGACUGUGGAAGGAAUUUAAACUCUCAACAUACAGGAACUCAUCAUGUGAUAUUUUAAAGAAUUUCAAAGAUAAAAUUCUCCAGAAUUCUAGCAUCUCUAGGAAAAGAUAAACAACAGCUCAACCUUCCCAAAUCAUAUCCGUUAACAACUUAGACUUU
rnacentral:lncRNA from 1 species